GCCGGGCGCGGUGGCUCCUGCCUGUAAUUCCAGCUGCUCAGGAGGCUGAGGCAGGAGGAUCACAAGUUCAAAGCCAGCCUCAGUAAUUUAGCAAGAUCCUAAGCAACUCAGUGAGACUGUGUCUCUA
rnacentral:sRNA from 1 species